AGUGGGAUCGCCGUCACCGCGCCGCGUCGUAUUCUCGAUAUGAAUUUCAUAUAAACCGCAAAUAUUACAUAAAAUGGCCUCCGAAACGGUACGAUUGUCGGUUACAUAUCUUAUCUCCAGCUACGUAUUGGCGCACUUACCGCUCUCAAGGCUCACAUUCUUUUAUGGACAUGCACAGCACACGUAACGUAUCCGACACGUAAUUACUCAGCACCAAGACUAUUUCUGCUGUAAAGCAUUAAUGAAUUUGGGUUUGAAGACUCGUUUGCACUUCACAGUGAUUGCACAAGUGCCUCACGCGCAUUUUUCAAGGCGUAGUCUCCUGUGAGAAAAUGCGGGAGGUGGAGAACCUCGAUCUUUCUCUUCUCCCCCUCUUCCUCUCUGGAGGCGCCGGAGUCCGAAAUAACUCACGAGAGGAAAUCGCCGGACUUCCGCCAUUGGUCAUCCAAAACAAAAAAAAGUAAUAAAAUAAAAAAUUCUACGACAUGGAUACCUAACAAAAAGGCAUUUAGACAUCGUCGCUCAACAACCAACGUCCAAACCUCGCAUGAGACAGAACUUAUGAAAAGGCAAAGGGGGGAAACUGAAGCGUAUAGUUCGGAGCACAUCUCUCCCAUCACCCUCCCCCUCAGGACGCCGGACCGGCGGGUCUCCCAUGCGGGGCAGACAACGAGCGUGUGCUCCGUCGUGUCCAAGUCGCAAGCACAAUGGUGGCACUCUGCCGUCAGCUCGGCUCCGAUCCGGUGCAGGAACUCACCAAAGCAACCAUGCCCAGUGAGCCUGAAAGUGAGGCGUCCUCUGUCACGAUUCACCCAGUUCGCAAGGGCUGGGCGAACCGCUUCGACGGUCCUACGACCAGCCGAAGGAUCGGUCAGCCGCCUGGACAAUAAAAGAAAUUACCAUUUUUUUUCUUCUGAGUCGGAGUAUAUGAACACGCUUUUGAGCGCAAUUUAAGUGUUAAAAUGUUUUGAGCUGAUAUCGGACUUCUAGUGUGGAUAUUUCUCGUGUAAUCGACAGCCUGUAACCCAGCAGUAACAUCAUUUAAUGUUUUACAGAAUGACUUGCGCGAUUAAAUAGUAAUACCUAA